AUUGAACGCUGGCGGCAUGCCUUACACAUGCAAGUCGAACGGCAGCACGGGUGCUUGCACCUGGUUGCGAGUGGCGAACGGGUGAGUAAUACAUCGGAACAUGUCCUGUAGUGGGGGAUAGCCCGGCGAAAGCCGGAUUAAUACCGCAUACGAUCUACGGAUGAAAGCGGGGGACCUUCGGGCCUCGCGCUAUAGGGUUGGCCGAUGGCUGAUUAGCUAGUUGGUGGGGUAAAGGCCUACCAAGGCGACGAUCAGUAGCUGGUCUGAGAGGACGACCAGCCACACUGGGACUGAGACACGGCCCAGACUCCUACGGGAGGCAGCAGUGGGGAAUUUUGGACAAUGGGCGAAAGCCUGAUCCAGCAAUGCCGCGUGUGUGAAGAAGGCCUUCGGGUUGUAAAGCACUUUUGUCCGGAAAGAAAUCCUUGGACUUAAUACGGUCGGGGGAUGACGGUACCGGAAGAAUAAGCACCGGCUAACUACGUG
rnacentral:rRNA from 1 species